AGUUCCCAGUGAAUUCAAUUUUAUUUCUUUGCUUCGUCCAUUGUAUUAUUCAUACAGGUACAACAUGGUAGAACAUCAUCAAAUGAGAAUGAUUUCCAUGACUUGAUAGACAUGUACGAGCAAGAGAGGAAUAGAUGAAAAGAAACAUAUGGUUAUCUCAGAAGAAGUAAACGAAGUGCUGCACAGCUCAUCUAACAGUACAAAUUCAUUUCAGGAAAAUGGUUCAAGUGCUUCAAAGGGAAGGGAGUCAAUUGACUACUUGGAAAAUGAUGUUGACACCUUUCACAUUGAAUGAUUGGGAUGUUAGCUGUGGUGAAUUCUAUGGACUACCUCUAUUUGAGGACUUGAAUACUAGAAAAGAAACUACAUCUGGAUCUGCCAAGUCAACCAGAAGAAAGACUGAGACUUCUACAACAGCCCCUAGAGAAAGGUCUAAAUCCUAAACGAUUAAACAUCUAUGAACUAUAUUGAGGUAUAUACUUUUUAUUAUUUUUAGAUAAUUUUGAUAUAAAGCUACUGUUUUUAUGUUUUUUUUGGGUUAUUAUUAUGUGAUAAAGAAGCUAGCCUUAUGCUUCAUUGUGAAUUCAAUUGUUGUUUUGUUUUGUUUUGGAUUGCUUGCUUUUGGUCCAAAAAGUUCGCUGAUCACUCUUCUCUAAUUUCAAGUAAGAAAUUCACACAUGAUAGAAUUAGAAGUUGUUGUCAGUUGGAAACUUAGGCUCUCCAUCUCUAUUCUCAAACCCAAAAGAUUUCAUCCAUGCUAUGCUUCUCUUCAUAGUAGUUGUUGUCAGUUGGAAACUAAUAGUUCAUUAUUGUAUGCAAAUAGUCAGAUACAGUACGUCUUUCCUUAUAACAAUAUGUGAAACAACUUCAGUUGCAAAGGUUGAGUUAAAAUUAAGCUGCACUGUUCUUUUUUGAUGAAUGUAGUUUGAAUUAUAAUUGUAUUUUGUUUGCAGCUUAAGCAUAACUAUUUCAUUCCUGCUCUCUCCUUUUCGUCCUUUUGUUUCCUGCACACAUUCCCCUAUUAUAAUUAGCUCGAUGGAUUUCGGUUACAUGUGGUGAGGGAGUAAACUGAAAAAGGUAGCACUCCACCUCCUCUUAUUCUUGUUUCUGUUAGUGCAAAUACACCUGCUGAAGCACCCGAAUCAAAUGGAUCAGUUCCUACACAAUCUUUAGCCAUUACUAGACCAAAACCUUCUUCAAGAGAUUUCCAAAUAUUGUUAGAUAAAGUUGCUGAUGGAGGCUUAGAGUUAAUUCAGUCUCCACUAGUAAGAACCUAAAUUGAGUUUUAUUCAUUAUCUAUAAAUCUGGGUACUAAUUACUAAUAGUACAGGUGGGGUCAUUAAGAAGUUAUCGAACAAAAAGGGGAAGUGUGCUCCUCCAUCAUGUAAAGAGAUACAUCUUUUUUGGAGAACAUUCUUAAUAUCCCACAAUACUGCCUCUACUAAUACAACUGAAAAAGAAAAAGAUUUAGCUGAAAAUUUUAAGUUUGGCAGCUCAGCAGGUAGGCUGCAUUCAAAUUAUUUUUCCUCUUAAUUUCCUAUUUCAAGUGACUGCUGUUGAUAUACACAAUAUAUUUUUUUUCUAUUACUGUACCUUUUAUCUGUAGUUCAGUAAUAUGCAUUUGAGCAUUCAGCUAUUAGGCAAGAAAUCAAUUAAAAUCAUGGUUUGUGAGUGUAUGUAGAUGCUAUGAAACCUUAUACGUCAGUGUUCUGCGGAUAUGACUUCUUCUAUUCACAUAAUUCUCAGAAUAUUACUGCAGAAAUGUUACACGAUAUGGCAGUUUUGUUUAUCUUACUUUAAAAGUUUAUAUCUUUGGUAUCUUCAAUAAGAUGGUUUUGAUAUGGACAGUAUGUAUGGUGGAGAGUGGACACCAGCAAGCAAAUUAAGAUAUAAUAUGCAGAACGCUAUUUUCUGUUGCACUGUUCAGGUAAAAUGGAACAAAUAUUUCACCAAAUAUUUUUACAUAUGACAAAAUUUUUUUUGGCAAAGUUUAGCAGUGGUUGUCUUAAUAACUAUGCGACUUAUUUGUUCACGGUCAUUUUAAUGUAGUUUUUCUACCGUCAAUUCAACAUUUCACAGGUCCAUCCUAAUUCAUGGACUGCAAUUUACGUGCCUCUGGACAAUGUGGGAAUGUGGAAUGUGAGAUCUGAGAACUGGGUUCGACAGUACUUAGGCCAGCAAUUCUAUUUUCCUGUAUAAUUAUGUAUAAUCACAUUUCACCUAUUUUAAUUCUAAUUACACCAUGCAUAAUCUUCUGAUAGAAGAUGAAACCUCAGCAUUCUCUAAGUCUCCAAUCACUGUAAGCAUCGCCGAUUCUGGUACUAACUAAACACCCAGCCACAAAUCUCUUAUAUUUACUUUGUUACAAGAUUGCAAUUACAUUUGGACUUCUAAUUUUUGUGGCAAAAUAUUAGCAAUUAUUUGAUUCAGUAGCAUGUGUUUUUGAUUAAUGUUGACACUCAAAUGUUGACUAUGCAAGAAAAAAUCUGUACUGCUACUCAGCAUUUUAUGACCAUGGUUUCUACUCUCUUUGGCAGAAUCAGAAAUAGGACAGUGCCUUGGUUGUAUCCAGGUGGACCAGUCUACUGUUGCAAUCAGAGAAUCUUUUAGGAAGUUUGAUGAUGUGCUUGAACCUGUUUGUCAUCGUUUGUCUUGGUGUUUGGGUAGCACAGUAGCUGGUCAUCUGUUUCUUCGAGUGCAACAAUUUGGAUGUUCGCAAAAGACCAAGGUUUGUUUCAAUUUCCUUGAUACACAAAAGAUUGCUAUAACCUUCUAUACAGAGUAAGCACUGCACACGCACUGUAGGUGCAUCUCUUAGUUUUCUAACUAAUGUAAAGUCUCUAUGUUGUUUAAGACGCCUAUGAUUGUUGUUUAUUUUUCCCAAGUUCAUGUGCUUCCUUCUAUUUUGGAUCUUUACUUGGGUAUCUAGAGUAUUUUUCUCAGUUGUAUUUGUACUUUGUUUUGUACUCUUUCUUUUUCAGUUACAUGUUCAUUGUAAUUUUUCUUUCAUAAGAGGUAAGGUUGAU